rnacentral:rRNA from 1 species
AACGAACGUGGCGGCGUGGAUGAGGCAUGCAAGUCGAGCGAGAAAGCACUCUUCGGAGUGUGAGUAGAGCGGCGGACGGGUGAGUAACACGUAAUCGAGCUGCCCUCGAGACUGGGAUAACCGUGGGAAACUGCGGCUAAUACCGGAUGGUCAUCGGACGUUUCAUGGCGACCGAUGUAAAUGGAGGGGAUCCUUCGGGACCUUCUGCUCGGGGAGGCGAUUGCGGCCUAUCAGCUUGUUGGCGGGGUAACGGCCCACCAAGGCGACGACGGGUAGCAGGCCUGAGAGGGUGGUCUGUCACAUUGGGACUGAGACACUGCCCAGACUCCUACGGGAGGCUGCAGUCGAGAAUCUUCCGCAAUGGGCGCAAGCCUGACGGAGCGACGCCGCGUGGAGGACGAAGGCCCUUGGGUUGUAAACUCCUGUCACGGGUUAUGAAUGCGCGUACGUGAACAUCGUGCGCGUUGACGUAUGCCCGAGAGGAAGCACCGGCUAACUCUGUGCCAGCAGCCGCGGUAAUACAGAGGGUGCAAACGUUGUUCGGAAUCACUGGGCAUAAAGCGCGCGUAGGCGGCCAUGUAAGUGUGAAGUGAAAGCCCACGGCUCAACCGUGGAAUUGCUUUGCAUACUGCAUGGC